GGAAGUUUGAUCAUCCGCCAUUUUCAACUGAGACUUGCAUAUGCUUAGCAUCCUGGAUAGAAUCCAUCGCCAUCUGAGGAUUAUUUGAAUCCCAGCGUUGAUGUUUGACAGGAAUGCAUUCUGAAAGCUGUCUGUGUCUACUUAAAUGAAAAGCCAGAUGACCUGUUCAAGGAAUUCUUGGAUGUGGAUCUUGGUGCAAGCAGAGAAACAGAGCAGCUGACUUUGGGAGUCUAUGUUGUCAGACAUGAGAGCAAACUCUGCAGAUACACCUGAGGACAUUGCUGUCAUCAUAGAAGGAUGCACUGUGCUGCAAGCUCUUAGUGAUGUGGCAAAGGGUUGUGCCCUCCGGCUUGGACUAAUCUAUAGUCUAAAUCUGAGCUACCCAAAGCACCUGAAAUACACAUUUGAAUUUCUUCAGAAGGUGCCGAUGGAGUUGGAUGGGAACAACCUAUCCAUGAAGGUGCAGGUUCUGAAAAACAAACUGCUUGAGUGAAACAGCCUGCAGUGAACUAUAGAGGACACUGAACUUUAAGGUUCUCGAACCCUUCUCCUUGCACUUCAUAAACUGUUCAGUUUGAAUUGCCACAAGAACUUCUGCAAGGCCUUUCACUUUUCUGCGUUCUUUGUUCUUGAACCUUUACCAACAUCCAACUACACUGAAAAAGACUACUCCUAACUUUGGACUUCAGUUUAAGUUUUGAAGCAAAGGUUAUUUUUCUAAAUAUGGACAAAAAUGACACAAAAGUAAUUUCUACCUGCUGUUUGCAGGGCUGUAUUGUGGGAUUUUCAUUGUAGCCCAAUCAAGUUUAAAUUAAGUCAUGUUAAUGUUAAAAAUGUUGGAAUCACAACACUUUCCAGUUUUAAUCAUUUCAGUUUAACAUGACAUUCUGUAUCUUGUCUUCCUGCACCUAAAAUGCACUUGAAUAUAUGUAAAGAUUGUUUGGGGGAAAAGAUCUAGAAGCAUUUGAAUUGCUCAAAGUGUGCUUCAACAAG